AUUGAACGCUGGCGGCAUGCUUUACACAUGCAAGUCGAGCGGCAGCGCGGGGCAACCUGGCGGCGAGCGGCGAACGGGUGAGUAAUGGAUAGGAACGUGUCCUGGAGUGGGGGAUAACUAGCCGAAAGGUUAGCUAAUACCGCAUAUCCUGUGCGCAGGAAAGCGGGGGAUCGCAAGACCUCGCGCUACGGGAGUGGCCUAUCUCCGAUUAGCUAGUUGGUGAGGUAAAGGCUUACCAAGGCGACGAUCGGUAGCUGGUCUGAGAGGAUGAUCAGCCACACUGGGACUGAGACACGGCCCAGACUCCUACGGGAGGCAGCAGUGGGGAAUUUUGGACAAUGGGGGCAACCCUGAUCCAGCCAUGCCGCGUGCGGGAAGAAGGCCUUCGGGUUGUAAACCGCUUUUAUCCGGGAAGAAGGAGUCAAGGUUAAUACCCUUGAUGACGGACGGUACUGGAGGAAUAAGCACCGGCUAACUACGUGCCAGCAGCCGCAGUAACAC
rnacentral:rRNA from 1 species